AUUGAACGCUGGCGGCAUGCUUUACACAUGCAAGUCGAACGGUAACAGGUUAAGCUGACGAGUGGCGAACGGGUGAGUAAUGCAUCGGAACGUGCCCGAUCGUGGGGGAUAACGCAGCGAAAGCUGCGCUAAUACCGCAUACGAUCUGAGGAUGAAAGCGGGGGACCGUAAGGCCUCGCGCGAUCGGAGCGGCCGAUGUCAGAUUAGGUAGUAGGUGGGGUAAAGGCUCACCAAGCCAACGAUCUGUAGCUGGUCUGAGAGGACGACCAGCCAGACUGGGACUGAGACACGGACCAGACUCCUACGGGAGGCAGCAGUGGGGAAUUUUGGACAAUGGGCGAAAGCCUGAUCCAGCAAUGCGGCGUGCAGGAAGAAGGCCUUCGGGUUGUAAACUGCUUUUGUACGGAGCGAAAAGGCUCUCUCUAAUACAGGGGGCUCAUGACGGUACCGUAAGAAUAAGCACCGGCUAACUACGUGCCAGCAGCCGCCGUAA
rnacentral:rRNA from 1 species